rnacentral:lncRNA from 1 species
UGAGGAUUGCUCACCAAAUGAGCAUAGUAGAAAGAUAUGUGUGCUGAAUUAAAACUAGGAAGUUGGUUCAAGACAUCAAAUAGGUCAGGUGGCAGCUCAUUAUCAGGUUUAGCUACCAUUUUUAUGGCAGCGGCAAGGUUCUCACCUACACUUUUGAAGGCGGCAACCAGCCCAUCCUCCUCCAUUUCAGCUAUCUUGGACUUCUUACUAGGUCUACUAGCAGAAGACGUUGCCCCUUGAGUGGUAUGCCCCUCACUUGGACCAUGCCCAGUAACCUCAUCCCCCUCUUCUUGACUUUCACCCUCAUCAUCCUCUCUACCUAGAGGUGCACUUGAGUCUUUUGCAAAAUUUCCAGUAGCCAUUGUAUUGCCAAAUAUUGCCGUCAUCUCUCUAUAGUGUAAGAGGGGCUUGUUCAAGUACUCAGCAUCAGACUUGUGAUCCUAGACAAGAUGGAAAAAUAUGUUAAUAUAAUCUAACACUUGUGAAUGAAUCAAGAACUAAGCAAAAGACAGUAAGGUUACCUGGACAUGGCCGUUGUAGUGCUCCUCAUCUAGUGUAAUCAUGCAGUUUUCUUCAUCAAAGAGGGCACCACUCAACUUCUUCAAUCUAUUUAUCUUUGCAUACCUUUUCUGCCAUGUUUUCAAAUGAUUCUU